UCUUGCGAACAUGUGUAUAAGUGCUUGAGACUAAGUAAAGUUUAGCUUUAAGUGAAAGCACUCUUGUGUUGUCCUGUUUUGUGCCAGCCAUCUAUCAGUCAGAUGGCCAUGUCUCCCCUGAUAUAUUUCCUGACACCACUGUGCACAGAGAGAAAGAGCGUCGUGUGGGGAA